rnacentral:rRNA from 1 species
UGGGGAAUCUUGCGCAAUGGGCGAAAGCCUGACGCAGCGACGCCGCGUGCGGGAAGACGGCCUUCGGGUUGUAAACCGCUUUCAGUGGGGACGACAUUGACGGUACCCACAGAAGAAGCCCCGGCCAACUACGUGCCAGCAGCCGCGGUAAUACGUAGGGGGCGAGCGUUGUCCGGAUUUAUUGGGCGUAAAGAGCUCGUAGGCGGCUUGGUAAGUCGGAUGUGAAAUCUCCUGGCUCAACUAGGAGGGGCCAUUCGAUACUGCCAUGGCUUGAGUCCGGUAGAGGGAUGUGGAAUUCCCGGUGUAGCGGUGAAAUGCGCAGAUAUCGGGAGGAACACCUAUAGCGAAGGCAGCAUCCUGGGCCGGUACUGACGCUGAGGAGCGAAAGCGUGGGGAGCAAACAGG